GACCUUAUAAUUAAAACAUUUUUGUCAGUGUCUUACAGGAAUGACAUUCAUCCAUUUCAAUGUUAUUAUACUAUCCCUGUGUUAAAUCUUGUUAACCCUUGCACUUCCGAGCCAAACAGCUUCCAAUGGUUGUAAACUAAACCAAAAGCACUAAACCUUUUAUAUCAUGGUUGUUUUGUAUUUGUUGAAAUUAAUUUUUGAUAUUGUUAAAUUAAUUGUGGCAAUUUGUUAGAAAAUAAACUUAACCGUUAA